CUUUCUCAUCUGGUAAUGUUGUGCUCUUAAGAGAUUCUGUAGUUUUGGUAUUUUCUGUAUUUGCUGGAAUUGGUGGAAGAAAAGGUAGCCCUGGAAGAGGUGGGAGAGGAGGGAGUUGCGGUAAUGGUGGCAAUAUUGGAAGCGGAGGAAGAGGAGGGAGAACAGGUGUUUUCGGGUCUUGAAGUGGAGGUGGAAAUGUUGGGUUAUCAAAAGAAGGUAGAGAGGCUUCUUUGGAACUGAAUUCCCUGGGAUUUUCUAUACUUGGUUUUUGAUUACAUAAGAACGGUUCUUUUUCAGGCUUGAAGGUGAAAAAACCAGCUGAAAAUAUAUGUGUUCCUUCCUUUCUUGACUUGAGACGAAGUGAUGAUGAAGUUGCUGUGGAUGCCACAGCACAAUAAGGCUCGCUGCUACUUAGUAACUCCACUGAACAUCUCUUAAUUUUCUUUACGUGUUUGCUCACUGAGAAAGGCAAAUGAACCUUGAAUUCUCCAUGCUCGUCUGUUUUCGCUUCUUCUCUGAAACUUGGUCUUGAUUUCUCAUCUUUGCAUUCUACAGCAACAUGUGCACCUGCAUACAAUAGCCCCCAGAAUCAUUUUUCUAUAUCACACUGCAAAACAUAACCCGUAAAAAUUAAUGUUAAUCCAAUAAUUAAGGAAGUUGUCGAAAAGAACCUGAAAUGAAGUGACUGUUCCUUGAGAAAUAUUCUUGGAAACAUGUGUCACAGUAGACAGUGCCAACGACAACUGCAGAUGGAAGUUUCUUUCCAUGGCUGGCUUCUGAGGGGUUAUUAAAUGUGAAACCGAGAAGGAAUAUUAUGAAAAACCAAGGCAUUAUGAGUAUUCUUCUUCUCUCUCUACGAUCACUGAUUUAGAGAAGAAUAAGAGUUGGCAGAGUCUCCUCUUUAUAAGUUGAGCCAAUCUUGACACUUGUUCUCUAUUCCUGACGUGCCGUGUCCCAUGUUCUAUUAUUGCUGUUUGAGAUAUGAAUGGAUAAUAUACCGUCUUACCCACCAAGAAUCUUUAUGUCAUUCAUGCAGAAACCAGUCAACUGCAAACUAGCAGCAGUGAAUGAGGGUGUAUUUCCUACCAUUUAACAGCUCAAAAGGAGGUAAAUAUACAGGCAGAUAAGGUAAGACUCUAGCUCUACCCUUCAUCCACCUCCCCCUUGUUUUCUUACAUUUAUCGAUUUGUUCCUUUGCUGGCUUUAAAAUACCAUUAUGAAUAGUUGGGUCCCUGUUGGUUCACGAGACAUGUAGAGUAGCCACAAAUUUCAUGCGCAUACAACAACACCCUAGCUAAUACCAACAAAUUUGAGAAUGUAGCUCGCUUGUAAGAUAUAUGUAUAAAUGCUAUUCACCUUUUGAACUAAUGUAUGCACAGACAUAGGUAGGCUGUUUCUUGAGGUUGUGUUGGAGAUAAACAUAGAGGAAAGAAAAAUGUGUUUGGUUAAAAAAAAAAAGUUAAAAGAUAUAAUAUAAUAGUUUUGAAGUGAAUUUUUUUAUUUUUAAAAUAAAAAAUAUAGAAAAAUAUAUAUAUUCCCAAUGCUUGUUCUCUUUUAACUCUAAAUAGUAGUUUGAAUGUCGUUUUAAAUUAAACUAGGCAAUGAAGGUUGAUUUAGUAUGUUCUUAUUGACCUAACAAGUUAGCCUGCUACUUAGAUCAAAGUCUAAUUUGACUUUUAAGAGAUUUUAAAAUCAGGUGGUUUGAGUUAUUUAAAAAAUAUAUUAAAACGAUUAUGUUUUAGAUUGAUCUGAGUCAACUUAAUUUAAUCUUUUAACCGUGUCAUUGGAUUAAUGUAAAUUUUUAGGUUUUUUUUUUAAAAUAUUUGAUUUGUUGAAAUACAUGUACAGUUCAUAGAAUGCUUGAUGCUUUUGCGAAAAAAAAAUAAAAAAAGAAGAAGCUGGUUCUUGAACCAGUGAAAUAUGGGGAAAUCCCUUAAUUUUACUACUGUGCUUGUGUAAUUAGGCAAAUAAGUACUUCAUCUAAUUUACUCAUGUAUUUUUUCAUCACACUCCAUUAAUUUAGCCCAACGAUAAGAAAUUGUAAACAACAUAGGCAGACCUUACAGGGUAAAUUCGUCAUAGUUUGUUGAAAUUCAGUCCAAUUAGAUUGAAUUGAUAAAGUGUGACACAUAUAAGGUAGAUUUUACAAAUAAGCUUUCAUAAGGGCUGAUCUGCUUAAUUGGCACAAUCAAGGACUAAAUCUUAAGGAAAUAUGUUAAUAAUAAUAAUAAUAAUAAUAAUAAUAAUUAAUAGGUCAGUUUUCUGUCGAAAACAAAAGGAAUGAUUACAUGCCCAUGGAAAAACUGUCAUUCUAUUCGUAAUCAAAUGUUAAAUGCCCAUGGAAUUUUAGGAAGACCAUUCCAUAAGACAUGUGCGUACGACAAUAUUAACUAUAGAGUUUGAUGAUGAAAUAAUUGAAUUUAAUUUUUUAAAUGCAAUCUGAUUUUGUAGUGAUGUAUAUUUUGUUAUGUACUUUAAUAUUAUAGAUUAUUUGUCUAACAAAUAUUUAAUUUGAGUAGUGAUUAUAAAUUAAAUGUAACAAUAAGUCAAAGUUUGGAUUCUGUCUUAUAUAAAAAGAUGUGACUAUCACAAAUUGAAUUUAACUUAAUAACGUAUAAUGAUCACUUUCCUUUAAAUUUCAUGGAUCAAAUGCUUAAGAUAUUAACAAAUAAGUCCCACUAUUACUUUCUUGAUGGAUAAUGGUUGUAAUCAUAUUAUUGUUGCACUAGAAGAUCAAGAAAAUACUAUUUUUACUUGCCCUUCCGAUACUUUUUCGUAUAGAAGUAAAUAUUUUGAUCUUUGCAAUGCACGUGCUAUUUUUUGAAUAUGCAUAAUGAGUAAAUUUUCAGACCAUGUAGAAAGAAUCAUAUAGGAUUUUAUGAAUGAUUUUAUUAUUUAUGGUAAUUCUUUUGAUGUAUGUAUUGAAAACUUAACUCUUAUUUUGAAAAGAUGCAUGAAAAUUAAUCUUGUUUUGAAUUAUAAAAAGUGUCAUUUUAUGGUUGAACAAGGGAUAGUCUUAGGGCAUAUAGUUUUUUCUAGAGGUUUGGAAGUUAAUAAAGCUAAGAUAGAUAUUAUCUUUUCUUUGUCUUAUCCCGUAAGUAUACGAGAAGUUUAUUCUUUUCUUUAAAAUGUAGGUUCUUAUCGGAGAUUUAUCAAGGAAUUUCUCAAAAAUAGCAUUUUCCUAUGCAAAUUAUUUAAGAAGGAUAUCAAUUUCAUGUUUGAUGAUGCUUGCAAGUAUAUGCUUGAUGAGCUUAAGAAGAGACUAACUUUGACAUCAAUUGUGUAGCCAUCAAAUUGAAAUCUUCCUUUUAAGAUUAAGUUUGAUUUAAAAAUUAUACAUAUUAAGCUAAUACAUAAUUUUUCAUAAAGCAAUCAAUAAUAUCAUCAUAAAAAUACUCUAAUCUUCUUAAAAACAUUGGAAUAAUUGGGUAAUUGAAAUGCAACUCUUUUUUUCUUAGUUUUUUUUUUACGAAAAACUAAAUAGAAAAAAAAUAAGAUAUUUAGAAAAGGCUAGUCACAUGUAGUCUUGGUCUUCCAAGUAUGCCUGGUCUAAGAAAAAUAAGAUUUAUAUAAGAUGUCAUGUGUUGGGGUUCCAACGUGCCCGUCUCAAUCAAAAGGAAUUUAAAGAAGUUAAAAUUACCACUAAUAUCCUAUAGUUUGAUCCAUUUUACCCUUGCCCGCUGUGUUUUGAAAAACUACAUAUUGCAUCACAGGUCAAAAGAAAAUUUCAAAUAUGAGAGAAUCACUAAAGUACCCUUAUAUAUAUUAUAACCAACAAUAGAUCUAAAUGACAUAUCAUUUCUUUUCUCUCAUCGAUUAACACUAUUCUCUCACUAAAAUAUCAAUCUCGCCAAUCUCGACCCCAAAUAAAAAAAAACAAAAACUAUUGAUUAAAAUUGAUUUUUUGCACUAAUUUGUGUUUUAGCAUGGUUGUCUAGCUAUUGGAACUUCACACAAGUUUCACCUUGAAAUCAGCAAGAAACAUUAAUAUUUUUUUUUAAAUCAAGGCUUUGAAAAUUGUUAAUAGUAUGUUGUGUUAUUGUUAAACACAAUUUAUUCAUUUGUUUAGAGGUUGUUAAGUGUUUGAGUAACUAAAAACCCAAAUUUGUGAAUGUGCACAUCAAUCUUGAAGAUUGUAAAACCCUAAAAGAAUCAAUUAUUCUUCUUUAAUCGACAAAAUAAACAUCACAAACAUGAUUUUGCUAGUGGAAAAACUUGUAUUCUUGUUUAUUUGAAAACCUAAAAAGAACCAAUAAUUUUAAUUUGACAAGGUCAUUGUUCUUUAAACCAUAAUUUUUAAUCUUUUUUAAAACAUGGAUCAUUAUGCACUAAACCCUUACACACACACACACACUAAUUAGCAGCUUUUUACGAAUGCUCUAAAAAACCCAAAUUUUGUUUCAUAUUUACUAUUCAAAGAACCCUAAUUUUAUAAUUUCUUUUUAAAUAUGUGUUUGAUUAACAUAAUUAAUUUUCUAUUAAAUGUGAUUAACCAUUGUUUAAUCGAAUUAGUAAUUUUUUUUAUCCUAAUAAAAAAUCAAAUACUAUAGUUUAUAGGUAUUGUAUAAGCAUCAAUAAUUUGUUUAUAAGCUUAUGUUUAUCAUUAAUGUAAUAUUAUAUCCUUUAUUAUGGAAAUAUAAAUACGAAAUGUUUGAUAUAAUUAAUCAUCAUGGAAGUUCAACAUAUGUCAAAAGAAAUUGUUAUUCUUACUACAUUUCUUAUAUUAACAUCAUGUUCAUAUGCAAGCAAGUAUAUAAUGUAAACUUACAUGGCUUCAAUAUAAGGGAUUAUAAAGAGAAUAUGUUUUUGGAUGAUGCCUCAAUGUUAAAGGUAUUGAGUAUGCAUGAACAAGAAGAAAAAGAAGAAAAAAUUAUAUUUUGAUGAGGAUAUUGAUGUUGCUCUUCUAACAUACACAAUGCUAAGGUGUUAUUAAGGCAAGCCUAAUAAUGGUAAGUCAACUGGUACUAAAUAUUUUUAUGCUUAUAAUGAUGAAGUUAAGAAAAACAAUAAGGUUAUGAUGUUAGUUGGGAUAGAAGAUUUUGAUUUCAAUGAUGAAGAUGUUGAUGUUGAAGUGGAUUAUGAUGUAGGAGGUUUUGGUGUUGGUGUUGGUGUUAGUUAUGGUGAUGGUGUUGGUAUUGAAGUCGUUGCUACUGUGGAGGUUCCAGUGUUAGUGAUGGUAUUUAUGCUAAAGUUGGUGCUGAUGUGGGAGGUUUUGUUAUCGGUGAUGGUAAUGGUGUUGAUGCUGAAUUGGUACUAAUAUGAGAGGUUUUGUUAUAGGUGAUGGUGUUAAUGUUAAAACAUGUAUUGAUUUUGAUGAUGGUGUGGAUGUUAUUGUGGGUGAUGUUGUUGUUAAUAUAUGUAAUGAUAAUAAGGUUGAUGAAGAGAAAAAAGAUAGAGAACUAUAUCUUUUAUGAUGAGAAGGGAUUUGAUUUUAUAAAUGAAGUUGAAGAUGAUUGGAUUGACAACUUGUUUAGUGAUAGUUCCAUUGGAAAGAAUGUAUAUUGUUUUUUAGAUUCAAAAAAAUACAUGGAAUAUUACUACUGAUGAUGAUGAUGAUGAUGAUAGGUUAAUAUAAAUAUAAUAGGUUAAGUGGAGGUAUGCCACUGUUCAAGGAUUACAACUUUACAUUCUUUAAAUGAUUUAACCAAAGUAGCUCAUGUCUCAAACAUUUCUAAUUAUAUAUGUCACGGAAGUAUACAUUUGUAAAGCCUGGCUGAUGACUGAAAGCUUAUUAGAUUCUAGUGCAAUAAUAUCUGUGAUCUUUUAUUGACAGAAAUACAUAAAUACACUACUAGAUACUAAACAAGCAGAACUCCACUAGAAAGAAAAUAAUAAAGAAAGGGUAAAUUCUGGGUUUAAAAGCCAUAGAUAGUUGUUUUUGGAAGCUAUGCAGUGAUAGCUAGAUAGUUUUCAAGAUGAAGAAGCUGGGGGGAUUCCAGGGAUGAGAGGAGGGAGAAGAGGGAGAGGAGGAAUAAGUGAGAAGGGAGGUGGUGGAAUAAGUGGGAAGGGAGGUGGUGGCAACGGAAGGGAUGGUAUUGGUGGCAACGGAAGGGAUGGUAUUGGUGGCAACGGAAGGGAUGGUAUUGGUGGCAACGGAAGGGAUGGUAUUGGUGUCAACGGAAGGGAUUGUAUUGGAGGAGGCUGAAGUGGGUUAGGAGGAAGUAUUGGUGGAAAUAGUGGAGGUGGCUGAAUUAUUGGAGGAAGUAUUGGAGGUGGCUGAAAAGGGUUUGGUGGAAAAAGUGGUGGUGUUGGAAAGCCAAACUGAUUAGGAUGGUGCACCGCUUUUUCAUCUGGUAAUGUUGUGCUCUUAAGAGAUUCUGUAGUUUUGGUAUUUUCUGUAUUUGCUGGAAUUGGUGGAAGAAAAGGUAGCCCUGGAAGAGGUGGGAGAGGAGGGAGUUGCGGUAAUGGUGGCAAUAUUGGAAGCGGAGGAAGAGGAGGGAGAACAGGUGUUUUCGGGUCUUGAAGUGGAGGUGGAAAUGUUGGGUUAUCAAAAGAAGGUGGAGAGGCUUCUUUGGAACUGAAUUCCCUGGGAUUUUCUAUACUUGGUUUUUGAUUACAUAAGAACGGUUCUUUUUCAGGCUUGAAG
rnacentral:lncRNA from 1 species